CACGUGGGUGAUCUGCCCUGCACUUUGGGAUAAGCCUGGGAAACUGGGUCUAAUACCGAAUAUGAUCGUCGGCUUCAUGGUCGAUGGUGGAAAGCUUUUGCGGUGCGGGAUGGGCCCGCGGCCUAUCAGCUUGUUGGUGGGGUAAUGGCCUACCAAGGCGACGACGGGUAGCCGGCCUGAGAGGGUGACCGGCCACACUGGGACUGAGAUACGGCCCAGACUCCUACGGGAGGCAGCAGUGGGGAAUAUUGCACAAUGGGCGCAAGCCUGAUGCAGCGACGCCGCGUGAGGGAUGACGGC
rnacentral:rRNA from 1 species